UACGUGGGGUGCGGGCGUUAUUCGGACUUACGGGGCGUAAAGCGGGCGCAGGCGGCUUUGCAAGACAGAUGUGAAAUCCCCGGGCUCAACCUGGGAACUGCAUUUGUGACUGCAAGGCUAGAGUACGGCAGAGGGGGAUGGAAUUCCGCGUGUAGCAGUGAAAUGCGUAGAUAUGCGGAGGAACACCAAUGGCGAAGGCAAUCCCCUGGGCCUGUACUGACGCUCAUGCACGAAAGCGUGGGGAGCAAACAGG
rnacentral:rRNA from 1 species